GCACAUGAGACUUGUGGGUUCCAUUUACCAGCUUAGCACUCUGAUCAUAGGAAUUUGCUAGCAUCGAAAUCAUUCUGCGCAACAGAUUUCUUCUGAAGAGAAAAAUAGCAGAAACUCCUCUGGUUUUGAAAUAAUCAACAAUUUGCUCAUGAUUCUGCAUCAGACCCUGAUUAAGCAUCCACUUGAGUCCAACUGCAGCAGUACAUUCAUUCUUGGAAGCACUCGUAAAAAAG
rnacentral:misc_RNA from 1 species